rnacentral:rRNA from 1 species
GACGAACCGUGCGAACGUUGUUCGGAUUCACUGGGCUUAAAGGGCGCGUAGGCGGGUGACCAAGUCCGGGGUGAAAUCUUCCGGCCUAACCGGAAAAGUGCCUUGGAUACUGGUCGCCUGGAGGGAGGUAGGGGCACGCGGAACUCCAGGUGGAGCGGUGAAAUGCGUAGAGUAUCGAGGAAGACCGUGCCGAAGGCGGCGAGC